rnacentral:rRNA from 1 species
GUCUACGGCCAUGCUAGCCUGAAUAAGCCUGAUCUCAGAAGCUAUGCAGGGUCAGGCCUGGUUGGUACUUGGAUGGGAGACCACCUAGGAAGACGAGGUGCUAUAGGCG